GACAGAGGGUGCAAACGUUGCUCGGAAUCACUGGGCGUAAAGGGCGUGUAGGCGGGAAGGAAAGUCAGAUGUGAAAUCCCCAGGCUCAACCUGGGAACUGCAUUUGAAACUCCCUUUCUUGAGUACCGGAGAGGAAAGUGGAAUUCCUGGUGUAGAGGUGAAAUUCGUAGAUAUCAGGAGGAACACCAAUUGCGAAGGCAGCUCGCUGGGACGUAACUGACGCUGAGACGCGAAAGCGUGGGGAGCAAACAGG
rnacentral:rRNA from 1 species